GGUCAUCCUACUGCUAGAUGUGCUCAAGCUAUGUGUGAGCAGUGCAAGAAGAAAGGACACCUGCCUGUGAUAUGCACUGAAUUUUUACCUUGAGAAUUUUCGCCUGCUACGUGUGGUUUUCAAAGCAAAGGGCAGGGGUUCUUCUAUAUUCCUGAUUUCAGCGUGGAUAGACAGCCUAGGGAGAGGAUUUUCAAUGUUGUUGUUACUAUCACCGAGGGGGAUGCGCUAACCAAAGACAUAGAGCACGAGCUUAGUGUUUAUGUGGGUCAGGGAUGGCGCUGUUCUGCUAAGUUCUUUGCUCUGAACAUGUUUGUGAUGAGGAUGCCUAACCCCAGAGAAGUUGAUCGUUCUCUUUUCGUUGAACAUGUUAAACUGAAAAAGUGUGGUGUGGCUGUUAAAUUUUCCCCCUGGUCUGAGGAUAUAGACUCUGAAGGGCUCCUAGAAGUUGCUUGGGUGAGGAUUGGGAGAAUCCCUCCUAAGAAACGCUGUGAUAAAACUGUAGCUUAUGUGGGGGGG
rnacentral:rRNA from 1 species